AGAGUUUGAUCCUGGCUCAGAACGAACGCUGGCGGCAGGCCUAACACAUGCAAGUCGAGCGGCACCUUCGGGUGUAGCGGCGGACGGGUUAGUAACGCGUGGGAACGUACCCUUCUCUACGGAAUAGCCUCGGGAAACUGAGAGUAAUACCGUAUACGCCCUUUGGGGGAAAGAUUUAUCGGGGAAGGAUCGGCCCGCGUCUGAUUAGAUAGUUGGUGGGGUAAUGGCCUACCAAGUCUACGAUCAGUAGCUGGUUUUAGAGGAUGAUCAGCAACACUGGGACUGAGACACGGCCCAGACUCCUACGGGAGGCAGCAGUGGGGAAUCUUAGACAAUGGGCGCAAGCCUGAUCUAGCCAUGCCGCGUGAGUGAAGAAGGCCUUAGGGUCGUAAAGCUCUUUCGCCAGAGAUGAUAAUGACAGUAUCUGGUAAAGAAACCCCGGCUAACUCCGUGCCAGCAGCCGCGGUAAUACGGAGGGGGUUAGCGUUGUUCGGAAUUACUGGGCGUAAAGCGCACGUAGGCGGAUCAGAAAGUUGGGGGUGAAAUCCCAGGGCUCAACCCUGGAACGGCCUCCAAAACUCCUGGUCUUGAGUUCGAGAGAGGUGAGUGGAAUUCCGAGUGUAGAGGUGAAAUUCGUAGAUAUUCGGAGGAACACCAGUGGCGAAGGCGGCUCACUGGCUCGAUACUGACGCUGAGGUGCGAAAGUGUGGGGAGCAAACAGGAUUAGAUACCCUGGUAGUCC
rnacentral:rRNA from 1 species